rnacentral:rRNA from 1 species
AUGUGUUAUGAUAUUCCCUUCGUGGUCGGGCUUUGUCUUUCGUUUUGCAUUUUGUUCAUGUCAUGCAUUUCAUAUCAUGUCAUUAUGUGCAUUUCAUUUGCAUACGUGUUCGUCUCAUGCAUCCGAGCAUUUUUUCCGUUGUCCGUUUUGCAAUCCGGCGCUCCCAUCUCCUCCGGCGCACCCCUCUUGUUUUCUUUCAUGAGCGGGUGUCAAACAUUCUCGGAAUGGACCGAGGUUUGUCAAGUGGCCUUGGUAUACCAUCGGGAGGCCACCGGUCAAGUUUCGUUCCAUUUGGAGGUCGUUUGGUACUCCAACGGUUAA